UAAUGCAUGGAGCUGCUGACAGGUAAAAUAUUAAAUGCCUGCGGUACUUUGCUGUGAUCUUCCCUGCUCUUGGUGGUUAGGUAAUUUCUCCUAGGAUGUUGUAAGCUCAGUUUUUUAUCAUAGCUUCCUCUUGAAGUUCCGGAUUUUGGAAGCUCUGAAGUGUUGUAAGUUUUGGUUUGUUAAGUCCUGAAAUUGCUGUUUUGCGCUAGUGUGUACUGCCUGAAUUCUUCUCAAUCUCCUUUCUGAGAUAAUUCAACCAUGGAUACUGCCUCUAACCGUACGAGGGGAAGUUUUGGAGGACGAGGAUGAGGUUUGGAUUGCGGUUGGCCAGCGAUUGUGUAUUAGUACGAGGAGUUCAUAGUGGAAAUUCUUACAUUUGCACACAUUGUGGAAAGAUUGUUGAUCCCUAUUGGUAUCUUCUUGGGAAAUCAACUUGGGCCAAUAAGUCUCUUGUGAAGGGCAGUUCUACUAUUGACACUUCAAAUGCACCUAGCCACUCCUUUGUGGAGUUCACUAUAUCAUUUGCUAUGUUUCAAGAGGAGUUUAACAAUCUUUUUGCAUGGUUCAACAGCUCCAAACUCCAUCUUUUACAUGUAGUGCUACUAUGGCCCAUUCAGACGAAGAAGUGGAUUGAUGGAGCACUUGAGAAGGUUGGCAUGUACUAUUUAAUGGUGGUCGUGGUGAGAUCAAUUUUGUUUUAUGAAUUCUUCAAUUUCGACUCAUGGUGUUUCUAUUGAUCAAUGACACUCGUUUGGGUCAUGCAUCCAUUCAAAAACUACAAGAAUUUUUUCCUUUGUGCAAAUUCGUUUCUCAUUAUAAGUGUUCUGUGUGUUAGUUGAGAAAGCAUAUUAGGACAUCUUUUCCAUCUAGAGUCGAGCCUCAUAGUAAAUCACUGCUUUCUCGUAUUCAUUCAUAUAUUUUGGGGUCCCUAUAGAGUCAAGAAUUUGAAUGCUCAUUAAUAUUUUGUGUUCCUUGUGGAUUAUUUUUGCGUAUGACCUAGAUCUAUUUCUUAAAAGAUAGGUCUAAAUCUUUUGAAUGUAUUUACUUAGUUCUACUAGGAAAUAAAACUCAUUUUGGCAUUAGUAUUCAAAUUUCUGAUUUGAUAAUGCACUUGAAUUUGUUCAAAAUGAGCUUUAGUCUUUUUUCUUGGGCAAAGGGAUUAUUCAUUAAACAUCAUGCAUGCAUACCCCUCAAUAGAAUGGAUUAGCUGAAUUAAAAAAAAAAAUAGACAUUACUUGACAUAGCAUGAUCCCUACUCCUUUAUAUGCAUGUUCCUAAAACGUUUUGGACUGAUGCUCAUCUUAUAGCCUUUUUUUGCUCAACAGGAUGCCCUCAAGUGUUUUAAAGAGACAUUCUCUCUAUUAUGUACAUAGAAGCAUCCAUGUUCUUUGUUGUAUCUUGUCUCUUUGGGUGCGCAUGUGUUUUUCUUGUUCCACAUAUUAGUCAUGAGAAGUUCUCUCCCUGUACUGUUAAAUGUGUCUUUGUUGGGUAUUCGAGAACUUAGAAAGGAUAUGGAUGUUAUGAUCCCCACACUUGUGGGAAAUAUGUUAGUGUGAAUGUCACCUUUUUUUAGGAUAUACCUUAUUUCUCUAGUGUCAGGGUUCUCUUUGGAUGGAUUUAUUUUGAUUCCAUCAAUGAUUUAUGGUUCCCCCUUUGGUGUUUAUCCUCCUUUGCCUACCCUUAUCUCUCUUGAGAAAUCUUUUGCACCUUUUCCAAAUCCUUAGUUAUUGGUCUAGAGAAACAAUUUAAAGUUUAUGAAUGAUGAAAACCAAACACAAACAUCACUAUUUCGACUUCUAUUUUGGAGAUCCAUACCAAUGUGAGUUGGAUUUGCCUAUUGCUUGUCAAAAGGUACUCAAACAUGUGCUUAGUAGUCCUUUGUUGCUUAUCCUUUUGCUCAUUAUGUUAUUCUUCACCUUCCUAGUCCUAUGCGUUUUUUGCCUUGUAUAUUUAGAAUAGUCAUAACGGUGUAACGCCAUAAUGGUGCAACACAAUAAAGCUUCCUAUCCAUAAUGGUGCAAUGCCAUAAUGGUGCAACGCUAUAGAGCUUUCCUAUCCUUUCUUGUGCCAAAAUUCAAGUUAUGGUAUAAAAGGCCUUCAAAGUAUAUGGACAAACCCUAUUUUCACCAAAUAUGCCAAACAACCUAUCCCAAAGAGCCAACAUGAAAGGGCAAUGAAGAAAGUGAUAUGCUCAAGUCUCUUCACCUAUGCAAAGGACACAAAUGUCGGAGGACAUGGCCUUGUUAGGUCUUCUCUUCUGAAGCAAAUCAUUGGUAUUAAUUCUUUCAAGUAUUGCACUUUUAAUGAAAGCUUUUAUUUUUUUAGGGAGUUAGCUUUCCAAAUCAAAGGAUACAAAGCAAAAGGAUCCGCAGUAGAAUCACAAGUCAAGUAGGUGAAAAAAGAUUCACAGUAGAACUCCCUAGAAGGAUCUAAACUCCAAACUGUUCCAUCACUCGCUAAAUGAACAUGAAAAGAACCGAGCAACCCAGUCAAAAGAACCAUCUCAUUAAUCUCUUUCUCAUUUAGAUUUCUCUUAAAAUGGAAGUUCCAAGAAUGCCCAUUUUCUUGCAAAAGAAGAAAAGUAGAAAUUGGGGUGUCACGAGGAUUUGAUAAACGAAAAAAACGAGGGAAAGUACUAGCUAAAGGCAUCUCCCCCACCCAAUGAUCCUCCAAAAAGCGAAUAUGCUCCCGUUACCAAUUGCAUAUAAUUCACUUUAGGAAGGAAAUAAUCAUAAAUUUGAGAUACAAACUGAAUAAGUAUUGUUAAUUCCCACUUUAGCAUCCCAGCCAUUUUUGUAGCAUUCCAAAUUAACUGUGAAUUAACUUAUGUCAAAGAGAAUUAGGUUCUAAAAGAAAGCACCAUAACCAUUUUCUCACCAAAGAGACAUUUUUGGACACCACGUUACCCAUGACCCAAGCCUCCCUCUCUUUUAGGCCUAUAAGCAGUCUUCCAACCUACAAGAUGGUCUCUACUACCCUCUCCCCCACUAGACCAUAAGAAAUCCCUCAUUAAUUGCUUGAGCCUCCUCGCUAAUCUCAUAGGGAUUGAAAAAAGAAAAAGGUAAUGCAAAGGUAUAGAAGAUAGACAAGCAUGGAUAAGGGUAAUACAACCCCCUAAAGUGAAGAACACUCUUUUCCACCCAUCCAAUCUAUUAGCCACUCUAUCAAAAAUAGGAUCCCAGAAAGAGUCUGCAUUAGGAUUACCACCAAAGGGGACACCUAAAUAUGCAAUAGGCCAAGUCAAAAUGGCACAACCAGCUAGCCUAGCAAAAGAAUCCACAUUAAUACCCAGACCCACCAGACCGCCAAUAGCCAACAAAUUAGAGAAGCAACUUAUCUUAUUUGAUAGGAAGAUAAUAGUAUCGUCUGCAAAUUGAAGAUGAUAAAUAAUGCAAUUCUAUUAACCUACCUUAAUCCCCUCCACCAACCCUUUAUCUACCCCUUUCUCAAUCAUCCUACUCAAGACAUCAACCAUGAUAUUAAAGAGAAAGGGAGAAACAGUAUCUCCCUGCCUUAGACCCCUGGAUGCACGAAACCAAGAUUUGGCCUCGCCGUUUACUAAGAUAGAAAAGAUCACAGAAGAUAGACACCCUCUAAUCCAUUCCUCCACCUCAGCCUGAAACCUUUUCUAGCCAUAAUCUUGUCCAAGAAGCUCUAGCUCACCCUAUCAUAAGCUUCCUCAAAAUCCAAAUUCAACAAGACACCUCUUAUUCCUACGAACAGCAUCUUCAACUACCUUAUUAGCUAUCAAGACAGCAUCUAGGAUCUGUUUGUUACCUAUAAAGCACUUUGGCUAAGAGAGAUAGUGUCCUCCAAAAUAAUAGUCAACCUCUUAGAUAACACCUCAGUCAAAAUCUUAUAGGCGCUAGUUACUAGGCUAAUAGGUCUAAAGUGCUCGACUUUAACUGCACCAUCUUUUUUGGGGACCAAGGUAAUAAAAGUGCGAUUCAAACUCCUGCCCACCACUCCAUUUUAAAAGAAUUCAAGAAAAGAUUUGAGGAGGUCUCACUUCAAGGUGUCCCAACUAUCUUGAAAGAAAGAGGAUCCUUUUCUCUAUCCAUCUCAAAAAUCGAGCUUUUAAUCUCCUCUUCCUCAAAUGGUCUCUUUAGUCAAGUAGCUUUAUUAGGUGAUAUUGGACACCAAUCCAGCCCCUUAAUCAUAACUUUACUCUCAUCCUCCUCUAAAAAGAGAUUCUUGUGAAGUUCAGUAAUCAGGCCAGCAAUGCGGUUAGGAUCCCUAACAACCUCUCCCCUAUCAUUCUCAAGUUCUUUAGUAAAGUUCCUUCUUCUCGUACCAGUUACCACACCCUGUGGAAAAACCUAGAAUUAAAAUCCCCAUUCCUGACCCAAUUUGUUGUAGAUUUUUAUUUCCAACUCAUCUCUUCUUUAAAAACAACUUUUUCAAGCUCAUUAGAUAAUUGGACUUGUCUACCCACAAUGUCCUCAGAAAGAGGUUCCUCCUCAGCUAGUCUAUCAAUCACACCUAGUUCCUGAAGAUUAUAUAUAUCUUUUUCCAAGACCGAACAUCACCAAAAGUUUCCUUAUUCCAGUUUUUUAACUUCUCUUUCACAUAUCUCAAUCUUUUCAUAAAACAAAACCUUACCAACCUUCCAUAGUGCACUCACUCCAUCAAUUCCCAGCCAAGCUCUGAAAAUCUGGAUGAGUCAACCACAUGUUUUCAAAUCUAAACAGAGCAAGGUUCCACUUGACAGGAUUAGAUUCAAGAACCAAAGGGCAAUGAUCAGAUUCUAGGAAGUAUUUAUUAAGGGUGGGAAAAGCAUCUUUUGGUUCAGUGGUAAACAGAAACCUAUCGAUUCUAGUAGCCACUAUCCUAUUGCCAUCUGCAAUCCUAAUUGCUGUAUUUUUCCACUGAAAAUGUUUGGUGCCUAUAAGACUAAAGCUGCCAUAGAUAACUGCAAUGCUUUAGUUGUAUUUGGUUCAUACUUCCGCGAGUUCAUGACCGUCAUGAAUGAUGUGAAAUAAUAAGAAUUUACUUUCUGUUAUCAAUAUCGUGCAAAGAUUAAUUUGAUAAUUAGUUAUAAUUCACCCACUUCCUGCAAGAAUGGAAGCUGUGAGAAUAGACACUAGGUUAAUGUUACUUUCUGUUAUCAAUAAGAUGUAAAGAUAACUUUGAUAAUUACUUCAAAUUCAUCCCACUUCCUGCAAAAGUAGAAGUAAGAUGCUUCUCAAGACUUCGCUUUGGGACUACUGUUGCUUCUGAAGAAUACACCUUUCUUUUUUACCACACAUUUAAAUUUACUGCUUUUGGUGAUAGUGGCUAUGCAGCUGUCAACAGCAUCAUCAGACAGAGCCUAAAUGUGAGUUUGGAGGAUGAUCUUAUCUUUGUGGAUGAUGCAAUAUUGCAAUGGGCCAGAUGGAAUAGAUAAAUGAGCUGAUUGGGGCUGGUAUUUUGUCCCACUUCUUCGUUCGUGGGGAGUCUAGUGGGAAGAAUGUAGAAGCACAACAAUAGUUUGACAAGAUGGAUUGUGGUACUCCGAUCUGAUGGGAAAAAGAAGUUUUUAUGGACAGCGGUAAAAGUAAGGGUUGUGAAGCAAACAAUAGGGUGUGCCCAUGGCUAGUCAUAAGGAGAAAAAUGACAAAGAACUUGCAUUUUGGUUCUCCUUUCUUUUUAAGUGGAUAAAGGUGUGAUUUGAUACUAUAAUUUAGUUUGCAAUUGCACAUAAAUUUACAGUUUAUAUAUUGUGCUUAUUUAACUUUGUAUUUGAUACCUGUCUUAUAACUAUCUGCCAUAGUCCUAAUUUCAGGAGGCUGAAGAAUUAUGGAAUCAUGGAGUGCCUCUAGAUCUUCUUUUGAAUGCUUUGGAAUGUAAUAUUUUUAAUUUUUAAAAGAACUCGAACCAAAAUAGAGUGCAUGAACUACAUGAUAAGAGAUCAGUGCGAAGUUAAAAUGAUGAGCUAAAGAUUAUGGAAUGCAUGUUAAUACUCAAUUCUUAUUUAUUUAUUUAUUUAUUCAUUUAUUGUUGUUAGAGGGGGUGGGGUUGGGGAGGGGGAGGGGGGGGGGGGUGUGUGUUUGAUUUCAGAAGAUAGAUUUCAUGGAAUUUUAGCAGCCAUGUGAGUUGAAGACAUGCACCCUGUAAACAAAAAACUUACCGCACCUGCACCCUGCAAGCAAAAAUUGUAUGUCAUGCAUUUCGUUGUUAGGCCACUAUUAAGCAACAUAUUCAGGGUUAUGUUAUGCAAGUAGGGGGCUGUUGAAAUGGAUUGGUGGACUAUUAUUUGGCAUAAAAUAGAAGCAUAUUCAUGCAUAAAUCUACAGUUAGGUGAUGAAAUUUCACUUGCCCCAUUGAUGGGUUUUGGAUGCAUUUUAAUGCACCCCUAAUGAAAGUUAUGCAUGUAGGAGGCUCUUGAGAUGGAUUGGUGGACUAUUAUUUGGCAUAAAAUUAGAAGCAUAUUCAUGCGUAAAUCUACAAUUAGGUGAUGAAAUUUCACUUGCCCCAUUGAUGGGUUUUGGAUGCAUUUUAAUGCACCCCCAAUGAAAGCUUUGAGAUGGAGGCUAAUUUAAGGUAGCUGAAAUCAGGAUCCAAGAACUCUGCAAAACUGUAGUAGUAGUAGUAGUAAUAAUAGUAGUAGUAAUAAUAAUGAUAAUCAUAAUAAAAAAUGGCUUUUAAGAAUUUGUUGACACUGUUAUAUCUUCUUUAUGUAGAAGCUUGGACACGUGCCCUUAUCAACAAUGACAAUAACAACAACAAAGCCUUAAAUCUCACUAGGUGAAUCAGCUAUGUGGAUGUCAGCCUUUAAAGUUCAAUAUAUCCUUAUUGUUGCAUCUCCAUUACCUUGCUUUCCUUGUAUAUGUGUUUAAUGCAGCUGCUAACUGUGUAAUUCUUUUCAUAUUUGUGCUUGAUAAAUAAUUAUAUUGACAUUGGCUUUGGAACUAGACACUGGGAGAAGUUGCUUCCAUAUGCUCCGGAGUUUGCACUCCCAUAUUGGUUCUCUCAAAUUGCAGUGACUCUCUCUGUUCUGUUGCAGUCUGGAUUUUGUCUCUGCGUUGAACAUGCUGACUGUGAUUUCAAUUUGGGGUCAGAAUUGUUUAUCACGAAGUAUUCUGGUGAUGUCUUGAUUGAAUGAAAAUUUUAAUUAGUGCACAAUCCUAUUUUUGAAAAGUUUCAGGAGUCACAUAGUCUCACAUCCUGAAGAUCAUGAGGUUUAACUUUUUCUGCUAGCCAAUUGUUAGUUACUGAACACAAUUAUCCAAUUUGUGUAAUCCAAUAUUUUGUUAGUUGUGCAGGAUAUUGUUUAUAUUCAUCAGAUGUCUUGGUCAUUGAAGCACUUGAAAAGAUGGUGUUGAAAUGAGCUUCCUAUGCCAGAUAGAUGAUGUUUGGUUCCCCGGCGAAUCACAGUUGUUGGAUCUGAGUCGAAGAUCUUCAUCGAGAUUGUUGAGUCUUGUGGUGCUUCGGCAUUCCAUGGCACUUCACCAUCCUUCUCUUUCAAUGCUAUCGUCGGUAUACCAUUGCCGUCGCCCCUGCAAGACCAAUCCGGCCACUGUUGGAGCUGUUCUUCGCCUCUCUGCUCAGCCACAGUCUGCCUGCUACCACUGCUGGCUACCAAAUCCAACAGCCACUGCUGCCUUUCUCUGCUGAUAAGCUUUUCAAUUGGACGUGGUAUGAUGAUAAAGACACGAAUGUUUUCUGGGAAAAAAGAUCACUUUACUUCGUCAUGAUAUCACAGAAGUUGUGGAAAUAUGGAUAUUAUGAUAAGAACGCGGACUGCGGUGACAAUAUUUGAAAUGUGGUACUUUCAAUGGCAAAUGUUCUUGAAGUCUGGUCCUUAUUUUUUUUAUCUUACAAUAUUUUGGAACUAUUUGGGCUGUGAGAGAUGGUAUGACAACUCAUUUAGCACAUCUUCCAUAUCUGCGUCCAGCGACUGAGGUGGCAUAGUGAUGGUCAGAAGCAACAACAAUGGAAGCAGCAGAAGAUCCUGCAAUAAUGCAUUCUGCCGUUUGCAGUGGAACAGAGUCAAACAUCUGGCCCAAUAGAUCCAGAGCUGUGCUUGUUUGGGAUUCGUUUGCUUCUUGUUUCUCCGUUUCCUUUUCUUUGUUUUUUUUUUUUUUUUGGAUUUUUUUUCCGUAGAUAUGGAUGCCGGAGGUAAAUUCAGUUCUGUUUUAAAGGACCUCUUUUUAUAUUAUUAGGUAUCUCAACCAUGAUCAUUAUUUCGAGACUGAUGUAUCUUCAUAUUCAAGUAGAUAAUUGUUUAGACAAGGUUGCCAAGGCUUGUGCUGGAGCCUACAACUUUCUUCUGCUAUUAUACCAUGAAAUGUUGGUA